AUUGAACGCUGGCGGCAUGCCUUACACAUGCAAGUCGAACGGCAGCACGGGAGCAAUCCUGGUGGCGAGUGGCGAACGGGUGAGUAAUGUAUCGGAACGUGCCCAGUCGUGGGGGAUAACGUAGCGAAAGCUACGCUAAUACCGCAUACGAUCUAUGGAUGAAAGCGGGGGAUCGAAAGACCUCGCGCGAUGGGAGCGGCCGAUAUCAGAUUAGGUAGUUGGUGGGGUAAAGGCUCCCCAAGCCGACCAUCUGCAGCUGGUCUGAGAGGACGACCAGCCACACUGGGACUGAGAAACGGCCCAGACUCCUACGGGAGGCAGCAGUGGGGAAUUUUGGACAAUGGGCGCAAGCCUGAUCCAACAAUGCCGCGUGCAGGAUGAAGGCCUUCGGGUUGUAAACUGCUUUUGUACGGAACGAAACGGCGAGCUCUAAUACAGUUUGCUAAUGACGGUACCGUAAGAAUAAGCACCGGCUAACUACGUGCCAGCAGCCGCCGUAA
rnacentral:rRNA from 1 species